rnacentral:rRNA from 1 species
UACGUAGGUGGCAAGCGUUGUCCGGAUUUACUGGGCGUAAAGAGCGCGCAGGCGGUCGUCCAAGUCGCGUGUGAAAGCCCCCGGCUCAACUGGGGAGGGUCACGCGAUACUGGUCGACUCGAAGGCAGGAGAGGGUAGUGGAAUUCCCGGUGUAGUGGUGAAAUGACGUAGAUAUCGGGAGGAACACCAGUGGCGAAGGCGACUACCUGGCCUGUUCUGACGCUGAGGCGCGAAAGCUAGGGAGCAACGGGA